rnacentral:rRNA from 1 species
AACGAACGCUGGCGGCAUGCCUAACACAUGCAAGUCGAACGAGACCUCCGGGUCUUGUGGCGCACGGGUGCGUAACGCGGGGGAACCUGCCCUUAGGUUCGGAAUAACUCCCCGAAAGGGGUGCUAAUACCGGAUAAUGUCUUCGGACCAAAGAUUUAUCGCCUUUGGAUGGGCCCUCGUUGGAUUAGCUAGUUGGUAGGGUAAAAGCAUACCAAGGCGACGAUCCAUAGCUGGUCUGAGAGGAUGAUCAGCCACACUGGGACUGAGACACGGCCCAGAAUCCUACGGGAGGCAGCAGUGGGGAAUAUUGGACAAUGGGCGAAAGCCUGAUCCAGCAAUGCCGCGGAAGUGAUGAAGGCCUUAGGGUUGUAAAGCUCUUUUACCCGGGAUGAUAAUGACAGUACCGGGUGAAUAAGCGCCGGCUAACUACGUG